UUGGGCUAAAGUGGGGGGGUGGCAGUCCCCUGUAACCCGAAACCUGCCUUAUGCGGGGCUGAAAAGAUAAGUUGAGGGAAAGGAUAGUGGGUGUCUUUAAUAAAUUAAGGAGGCGAUGAAGGCUGGGUCUGACAAAGGCAUACCCUACGAACCCCGCCAGGGCCGGAAGGCAGCAACGGUAAGUAGGUGUUAUGUCGGUUGUCAGGGUGCCUGGCUGGAGCUUCCUUUUUAUUAAAGCCCCAUUAUCGCUUUCUCGAACUUAUCGCCCAA
rnacentral:SRP_RNA from 1 species